GACGAACGCUGGCGGCGUGCCUAAUACAUGCAAGUCGAACGCAGUGGGGACGGGUGAGUAACACGUGGGUAACCUCCCAUCAGAGGGGAAAACACUUGGAAACAGGUGCUAAACCGAUACUGAUGGAUGGACCCGCGGGUCAUUAGCUAUUUGGGGAGGGAACGGCUCACCAAGGCCACGAUGCAUAGCCGACCUUAGGGGGUGAUCUGCACCACUGGAACUGAGACACGGCCCAGACUCCUACGGGAGGCAGCAGUAGGGAAUCUUCGGCAAUGGACGAAGGUCUGACCGAGCAACGCCGGGUGAGUGAAGGAGGUUUUCGGAUCGUAAAACUCUGUUGUUUGAGAGGCGGUAUCUAACCAGAAAGCCACGGCUAACUACGUGCCAGCCGCCGCGGUAAUUC
rnacentral:rRNA from 1 species